rnacentral:rRNA from 1 species
AUGCACGCUGGCGGCGUGCUUAACCCCUGCCAGUCGAACGAAGCACUUUAUUUGAUUUCCUUCGGGACUGAUUAUUUUGUGACUGAGUGGCGGACGGGUGAGUAACGCGUGGGUAACCUGCCUUGUACAGGGGGAUAACAGUUGGAAACGGCUGCUAAUACCGCAUAAGCGCACGGCAUCGCAUGAUGCAGUGUGAAAAACUCCGGUGGUAUAAGAUGGACCCGCGUUGGAUUAGCUAGUUGGUGAGGUAACGGCCCACCAAGGCGACGAUCCAUAGCCGACCUGGGAGGGUGACCGGCCACAUUGGGACUGAGACACGGCCCAAACUCCUACGGGAGGCAGCAGUGGGGAAUAUUGCACAAUGGGCGAAAGCCUGAUGCAGCGACGCCGCGUGAGCGAAGAAGUAUUUCGGUAUGUAAAGCUCUAUCAGCAGGGAAGUUAAUGACGGUACCUGACGAAGAAGCACCGGCUAAAUACGUG